rnacentral:rRNA from 2 species
GCCAAAAAUUUAACUUCUAAUAUGGUAUAAAAAAAUCGGAGGCCACGACUGUUUACUAAAAACAUAAUUCAGAGCAAUAAUUAAGAUAAUAGUAUUCUGAAUGAAAUUUGCCCAAUGCCAUUAAUAUAAAAGAGGUAAUUUAAAAGUUACUAAUUGAAAGUCUGGUUAAUAGCGGUCUUAACUAUGAGGAUCCUAAGGUAGCAAAAUAAAUUGGCCAUUAAAUGUGGUCUUGUAUCAAUAAUGUAACGAUGGUCUCACUGUCUCUACAACUUGCUCAGUGAAAUUGAAUUGCGAGUGCAGAUGCUCGCUAUCUUCAGAGGGACGGGAAGACCCUAUGCAGCUUCUACUGA